GAUGAAGAACGUAGCGAAAUGCGAUACUUGGUGUGAAUUGCAGAAUCCCGUGAACCAUCGAGUCUUUGAACGCAAGUUGCGCCCGAAGCCACUAGGCCGAGGGCACGCCUGCCUGGGCGUCACACGUCGUUGCCCCCCCCCCAUCUACUCCUUCGGGAUGGGGGGGGGCGGAUGAUGGCCUCCCGGGCGCCUAGCCGCGCGGUUGGCAUAAAUACCAAGUCCUCGGCGACGCACGCCACGACAAUCGGUGGUUGCGAAACCUCGGUUGCCCGUCGUGUGCGUUCGUCGCGCAUCGAGGGCUCGAAAAAAUGCUCGGCUCCGGCUCGGCUUUCAACGCGACCCCAGGUCAGGCGGGGUUACCCGCUGAAUUUAAGCAUAUCAAUAAGCGGAGGA
rnacentral:misc_RNA from 1 species